rnacentral:pre_miRNA from 1 species
GUCCUAGACGCGUCCUGGGAUAAUGCGCUUCUUUGAGCCGCGCGUUUACUCGUGGUGAGGAUCCGGGGCACUGAGCAAUCCCCAGGACACAGGCGGAGCGGAAGGCAACGUGCGCCACGCAGCCUAAUCACCGCCCCUAUAGUCCUU